AUUGAACGCUGGCGGCAUGCCUCACACAUGCAAGUCGAACGGCAGCAUGAUCUAGCUUGCUUGAUUGAUGGCGAGUGGCGAACGGGUGAGUAAUACAUCGGAACGUGCCCUGUAGUGGGGGAUAACUAGUCGAAAGAUUAGCUAAUACCGCAUACGACCUGAGGGUGAAAGUGGGGGACCGCAAGGCCUCAUGCUCUAGGAGCGGCCGAUGUCUGAUUAGCUAGUUGGUGAGGUAAAGGCUCACCAAGGCGACGAUCAGUAGCUGGUCUGAGAGGACAAUCAGCCACACUGGGACUGAGACACGGCCCAGACUCCUACGGGAGGCAGCAGUGGGGAAUUUUGGACAAUGGGCGAAAGCCUGAUCCAGCAAUGCCGCGUGUGUGAAGAAGGCCUUCGGGUUGUAAAGCACUUUUGUCCGGAAAGAAAUGGAUCUGGUUAAUACCUGGGGUCGAUGACGGUACCGGAAGAAUAAGGACCGGCUAACUACGUG
rnacentral:rRNA from 1 species